AGCAAAUAAGAGUGGAAAAAAGUCACCAGUUUAUGACAGCAAUUAAGUAAUUUUUUAAACACUCUCCGCACUUGGCCAACAGCAGUAGCAGCCCAAAAAGGGGGGGAAAAAACACAAACCUCCCAAGUAAAACAAAUAUGGAUCUGGUAUCUGGUUAUAACUUUUUUCUUUUGUAUAAAAAUCCCACUGUGGUGUGUCGCAGCUAAAUUUCGGACUUCUUAAACAAAAGCCAACGAAUGAGUUCUCACAUGCAAUGUGUCUGAGUUCGCCACAUCGACUUUCGUCAUCUAUUGGUUCCAUAUGCAAACACAAUACACCUUAUGUUAAUAUACACACGAAAUAAGUAGAGAAGAAAUACUAAAAUGUGGGGCUAUCAGUCAACAAGAAUGAGGAUGAUCUACCAUAUAUGCCAUUCAUUUUUAAUUCUGGCAUCACAUACUACUUUUAGUUAAAGCCCGAAAUAAAACCCCUUGAUA